UACGUAGGGGGCAAGCGUUGUCCGGAUUUAUUGGGCGUAAAGAGCGUGUAGGCGGCUUUACAGGUCCGUUGUGAAAACUCGAGGCUCAACCUCGAGACGCCGGUGGAAACCGUAAGGCUAGAGUCCGGAAGAGGAGAGUGGAAUUCCUGGUGUAGCGGUGAAAUGCGCAGAUAUCAGGAAGAACACCCGUGGCGAAGGCGGUUCUCUGGGACGGUACUGACGCUGAGACGCGAAAGCGUGGGGAGCGAACUGG
rnacentral:rRNA from 1 species